GGGGGAACCAGCGGCUCCCUCUCCCCUUCAGCUCCCUGCUCCGGCGUUUCUGAGCCCUGCACCUGAGGGAUUCUGUGUGCAGGAACGCCGGGCACCAGGUGAAACAGCGAGGAGGAAGGCAGAGGGUGGCACAGGGCAGCCGAGCAUCCUCCUGCCCUCCAAGAACGAGCAGAGCACGGAACAGCUCCAGGAUUUCAGCAUCCAGCACCAAGGGCUGGAAGGGAACCCGAGGUCCAGAAGUCUUCCAGAAAACAGUUUUAAAGUUGUUCAAAGGAAGGUGGAAAAGCUGAAAAGUCAAACUCAGGAGGCUGGAGCAGAGACCCCACAUAUGUUCCCACCACCACCUCCAGGAUUUGUGGGUAUCUCCUGAACUGACCUUCUCUGGGACACAGGCUGUGCAGCAGCAAAAGGAACAACCUGCAGUCCCUGGAGCAAUAUGGACAUGGAUGUGGAUAUGGAUAUG
rnacentral:lncRNA from 1 species